rnacentral:tRNA from 1 species
UGUCCCAUAGCUCAACUGGUUAUAGUACCAUUUUUAUAAGCUGGUGGUUCGGAGUUCGAGUCUCCGUGGGACAA